rnacentral:sRNA from 1 species
GCCGGGUGUGGUGGCGCAUGCCUGUAAUCCCAGGUACUUGGGAGGCUGAGGCAGGAGAUUCGCUGGAAACUGGGAGGCAGAGGUUGCAGUGAGCCGAGAUUGUGCCACUGCACUCCAGCCUGGGUGACAGAGCGAGACUCUGUCUCAA